CGCGUGCUAUACAUGCAGUUGAGCGCUGAAGGUUGGUACUUGUACCGACUGGAUGAGCAGCGAACGGGUGAGUAACGCGUGGGGAAUCUGCCUUUGAGCGGGGGACAACAUUUGGAAACGAAUGCUAAUACCGCAUAAAAACUUUAAACACAAGUUUUAAGUUUGAAAGAUGCAAUUGCAUCACUCAAAGAUGAUCCCGCGUUGUAUUAGCUAGUUGGUGAGGUAAAGGCUCACCAAGGCGAUGAUACAUAGCCGACCUGAGAGGGUGAUCGGCCACAUUGGGACUGAGACACGGCCCAAACUCCUACGGGAGGCAGCAGUAGGGAAUCUUCGGCAAUGGACGAAAGUCUGACCGAGCAACGCCGCGUGAGUGAAGAAGGUUUUCGGAUCGUAAAACUCUGUUGGUAGAGAAGAACGUUGGUGAGAGUGGAAAGCUCAUCAAGUGACGGUAACUACCCAGAAAGGGACGGCUAACUACGUGCCAGCAGCCGCGGUAAUACGUAGGUCCCGAGCGUUGUCCGGAUUUAUUGGGCGUAAAGCGAGCGCAGGUGGUUUAUUAAGUCUGGUGUAAAAGGCAGUGGCUCAACCAUUGUAUGCAUUGGAAACUGGUAGACUUGAGUGCAGGAGAGGAGAGUGGAAUUCCAUGUGUAGCGGUGAAAUGCGUAGAUAUAUGGAGGAACACCGGUGGCGAAAGCGGCUCUCUGGCCUGUAACUGACACUGAGGCUCGAAAGCGUGGGGAGCAAACAGGAUUAGAUACCCUGGUAGUACACGCCGUAAACGAUGAGUGCUAGAUGUAUGGAGCUAUAAGUUCUCUGUAUCGCAGCUAACGCAAUAAGCACUCCGCCUGGGGAGUACGACCGCAACGUUGAAACUCAAAGGAAUUGACGGGGGCCCGCACACGCGAUGGAGCAUGUGGUUUAAUUCGAAUCUACGCCAAGAACCUUACGACGUCGUGACGUACUCGUGCCAUUCCUAGACAGCGGAA
rnacentral:rRNA from 1 species